rnacentral:rRNA from 1 species
CAGCCGCCGCGGUAAUACGGAGGGUGCAAGCGUUAAUCGGAAUUACUGGGCGUAAAGCGUGCGUAGGCGGUUCGUUAAGUCUGUUGUGAAAGCCCCGGGCUCAACCUGGGAAUGGCAAUGGAUACUGGCGAGCUAGAGUGUGUCAGAGGAUGGUGGAAUUCCCGGUGUAGCGGUGAAAUGCGUAGAGAUCGGGAGGAACAUCAGUGGCGAAGGCGGCCAUCUGGGACAACACUGACGCUGAGGCACGAAAGCGUGGGGAGCAAACAGGAUUAGAUACCCGCGUAGUCCCUGUCUCUUAUAA